rfam:Triticum aestivum genome assembly, contig: Triticum_aestivum_CS42_TGACv1_scaffold_288169_4AL
GUAGUACUCUCUCCGUCCCAAAAUUUUUGUCUUAGAUUUGUCUAGAUACGAAUGUAUCUAAUACUAAAAUGUGACUUGAUACAUCCGCAUUUAAACAAAUCUAAGACAAGAAUUUUGGGACGGAGAGAGUACACG